rnacentral:rRNA from 1 species
UACGGAGGGUGCUAGCGUUGUUCGGAAUCACUGGGCGUAAAGCGCGUGUAGGCGGCCCACUAAGUCUGAUGUGAAAGCCCGGGGCUCACCCCCGGAAGUGCAUUGGAAACUGGUGGACUCGAGUCCCGGAGAGGAGGGUGGAAUUCCUGGUGUAGCGGUGAAAUGCGUAGAUAUCAGGAGGAACACCGGUGGCGAAGGCGGCCUGCUGGGCUAUGGCUGACACUGAGGCGCGACAGCGUGGGGAGCAAACAGG